rnacentral:rRNA from 1 species
GACGAACGCUGGCGGCGUGCUUAACACAUGCAAGUCGAACGGAAAGGCCCUGCUUUUGUGGGGUGCUCGGUUGGCGAACGGGUGAGUAACACGUGAGUAACCUGCCCUUGACUUUGUGAUAACUUCAGGAAACUGGGGCUAAUACCGGAUAUGAUCUCCUGCUGCAUGGUGGGGGUUGGAAAGUUUCGGCGGUUGGGGAUGGACUCGCGGCUUAUCAGCUUGUUUGUGGGGUAGUGGCUUACCAAGGCUUUGACGGGUAGCCGGACUGAGAGGGUGACCGGCGACAUUGGGACUGAGAUACGGCACAGACUCCUACGGGAGGCAGCAGUGGGGAAUAUUGAACAAUGGGCGGAAGCCUGAUGCAGCAACGCCGCGUGCGGGAUGACGGCCUUAGGGUUGUAAAACGCUUUCGCCUGUGACGAAGCGUGAGUGACGGUAAUGGGUAAAGAAGCACCGGCUAACUAAGUG